CUGUGGGAUUCUAUGGAAUCCCAUUGGGUUCUAUGGGGUCCCAUUGGGUUCCAUUGGGUUCUAUGGGAUUCUAUGGGAUCCCAUUGGGUUCUAUGGGGUCCCAUUGGGUUCUAUGGGAUUCUAUGGAAUCCCAUUGGGUUCUAUGGGGUCCCAUUGUGUCCCAUUGGGUUCUAUGGGAUUCUAUGGGGUCCCAUUGGGUUCUACGGGUUCUGUGGGAUCCCAUUGAGUUCUAUGGGUUCCCAUUGUGUUCUAUGGGAUCCUAUGGGGUCCCAUUGGGAUCUAUGGGGCCCUAUUGUGUCCCAUGGGGUUCUAUGGGAUUCUAUGGGGCCCAAUGGGUUCUAUGGGAUUCUCUGGAGUCCCAUUGAGUUCUAUGGGGUCACAUUGGGUUCUAUGGGAUCUAUGGGGUCCCAUUGUGUCCCAUUGGAUUCUAUGGGGUUCUAUGGGGUCCCAUUGGGAUCUAUGGGGUCCCAUUGUGUCCCAUGGGGUUCUAUGGGAUCUAUGGGGUCCCAUUGUGUUCUAUGGGGUCCCAUUGCUUUCUCUGGCAUUCCAGAACUUUCCCCCCCCCCCCUUUCCCCACCUGCUGGGCCGUUUUGGUUUUGUGUUCCUCCUUCUUAUCUUUGGGUUCCUUCGGGGGUCCCGGGGGGGGCUCGGAGGCGGCGGGGGGGGCGGGCAGGUAAGUGCGGCGCUGCCCGUCCCAAUAGAGGUACUGCUGGGCCCCCACGUCAUAGUAGUACUGGGGGGGGGGACCAGGGGUGAGCCUGGCCCCAUAAGUGACCCCCAGACCCAUAAGUGACCCCCAGCCCCAUAAGGGAGUCCAAUCCCAUAAGGGAGUCCAACCCCAUAAGGGAGAAUGGCCCCAUAAGGGAGAAUGGCCCCAUAAGUGAUCCCCAACCCCAUAAAUGACCCCCCCAGCCCCAUAAAUGACCCCCAACCCCAUAAGUGAUCCCCAACCCCAUAAGGGAGAAUGGCCCCAUAAGUGACCCCCAGACCCAUAAGUGACCCCCAGCCCCAUAAGGGAGUCCAACCCCAUAAGGGAGAAUGGCCCCAUAAGUGACCCCCAAUCCCAUAAGUGACCCCCAGCCCCAUAAGUGACCCCCAGCCCUAUAAGGGAGUCCAACCCCAUAAGGGAGAAUGGCCCCAUAAUGAGCCCAGAAGUGAGCCUGGCCCCNNNNNNNNNNNNNNNNNNNNNNNNNNNNNNNNNNNNNNNNNNNNNNNNNNNNNNNNNNNNNNNNNNNNNNNNNNGGAGAAUGGCCCCAUAAGUGACCCCCAAUCCCAUAAGUGAUCCCCAACCCCAUAAGUGACCCCCAAUCCCAUAAGUGAUCCCCAACCCCAUAAGUGACCCCCAAUCCCAUAAGUGACCCCCAGCCCCAUAUGUAAGUCCAACCCCAUAAGGGAGAAUGGCCCCAUAAGUGACCCCCAGACCCAUAAGUGACCCCCAUUCCCAUAAAUGACCGCCAGCCCCAUAAGUGACCCCCAGCCCCA
rnacentral:lncRNA from 1 species